CGGCGUGUAGAUCAAUGGUAGAGCGUCCCCUUUAUCAGGGGUUGAUCCCGGUUCGAAUCCGGGCGCGCCGA
rnacentral:tRNA from 1 species